rnacentral:rRNA from 1 species
CAUGUCCUUUUGAUUAUAAUUUAAGGUCUAAUCUGCUCAAUGAGUGAUUAAAUAGCCGCGGUAUUUUGACCGUGCAAAGGUAGCAUAAUAAAUAGUUUUUUAAUUGGAAACUGGAAUGAAUGAUUGGACGAGAAAAUUACUGUCUCUGAUUUACUUAGUGAAUUUAACUUUUGAGUGAAAAGGCUCAAAUUUUUAUAUAAGACGAGAAGACCCUAUAGAGUUUGAUUUUUUUUUAGUAUGAGUUUAUUUUGGUAUAAAAAUUUUAUUUGUCCUUGAAAAAUUUAAUUGGGGUGAUUUUAAGAUUUGUAAAACUCUUAAUUUUUAUAAUCAUUGAUUUUUGAAUGUUGCAUCUAAAAAUUUUAAGAUAAAAAUAAAUUACCUUAGGGAUAACAGCGUAAUUUUACUUUAAAGUUCAUAUUGAGAGUAAAGUUUGCGACCUCGAUGUUGGAUUAAAAUUAAUUGUUGGCGCAGUAGCUAAAAAAUUGAGUCUGUUCGACUUUUGAAAUUUUACAUGAUCUGAGU